rnacentral:misc_RNA from 1 species
UUCGAGCGUCAUUAUAACCUCUCUAGCUCUGCUAGGUCUUGGGGCUUGCCUUCCCGGGCAUCCCUUAAAACUAGAUGCGGCGCCGCGUUAGCUCUAAGCGUAGUACUUUUCUCGCUUUUAGGUCCGUCGUGGUGUUUACUACCAAACCCUAACUUUCUAUGGUUGACCUCGUAUCAGGUAGGGAUACCCGCUGAACUUAA